CCUACGGGGGGCAGCAGUGAGGAAUAUUGGUCAAUGGGCGGGAGCUUGAACCAGCCAAGCCGCGUGAGGGAAGAAGGUACAGCGUAUCGUAAACCUCUUUUGUCGGAGAACAAAACCCGGGACGUGUCCCGGACUGCGUGUAUCCGAAGAAAAAGCAUCGGCUAACUCCGUGCCAGCAGCCGCGGUAAUACGGAGGAUGCGAGCGUUAUCCGGAUUUAUUGGGUUUAAAGGGUGCGUAGGCGGUCCGUUAAGUCAGCGGUAAAAUUGCGGGGCUCAACCCUGUCGAGCCGUUGAAACUGGCAGAC
rnacentral:rRNA from 1 species